CCGGAACCGCAGCUGCUGGCACGGCCGGGACACGGCCUGAGGGUGCGCUGCAGCCCGGCUUGGCUCCAGCGCUCCCUCCGCCAGUCACAGGGAGGGAUGUCCGAGCAACAGCUGGCCAGGUGUCAUUGCCAGGACAGGAUCCUUAUCUAGACUGGCUUGUGCUGCUUAAUACUGGAAAGAAAUCUUGACAGUCUGCGCUCGUGAGUGAAGAUUUAUAUACACCUCUCUGUAGCUUCAUGCACUUGAGUGCAGUGGGAUCCUAGACACCUGCCCCUACCAGCGUGAUUCAUUCACAUGCUCUUUGGAGUGGAAGGAUCUCCCAGCAAAGAAUGCAGAAAGCUGUUCCCACAGGUGCAGCAAAUAGGUAAAGGGAGCCCCAGCUGGCAGCAUGCACAUUGUGUGCAGCAUGAAAGGAACCCCAGAGCUGUGUGAAAUCCAUUAGCAGUGUCACCUGUCACUUUUGCCUGGCAAGCACUGAGCUCACCUGAACUGAAAGGGCUCCCACCUCUGGCUCCUGAACUGGUGUGGCACUGCUCAGGAAUGUUGCACAGUGGGAGGCCAGACUGAUUGUGUCACAAGAAGAGGAACUACCACAGCCAGCACAGCCAGCCUGGCUUUGCACACCAUUCAUGAGUGCAAGCACUUGGGGAAUGGUAAUUCCUCCACCUUCCUUCAAGUCUGCUGCUACAGCCUGGACUGAUUUAAAGGCUGGAUACUAAAAUGUCUAAGGAAUGAAUGGAGAGUCCCAUGAGGCAAAUACUGAGAAUGGUCUGGAGUACAAAUUUCCCUCAUUCCCUCCCUAAAACAGACUUGCCCUGGGCGCCAUGAGGGCCAGGGAGAAGUUAACUCUGCAGCUGGGGAGACAUCUGCAAUUUGGUGAGGAUAGGUUCUUUCCACAGAGGCUGUUAAUUCUGCAUGACCUAAUCUGGGUUUGUUGCUUCUCUACACUGUGAGUCACAGUGUGCACAGUCCUUUGGUCACUGUGGCAGGCUGCAGGGCUUCACAGUGGCCUUUUGCUCUUCCUAUGGAUGAUGACUGUCUUUGACUUUGCUGUCAUGUGCUGUUUGAUGCUUUCCAUUUAUAUCUAAUAAAAUCACCACAAUCUGCA
rnacentral:lncRNA from 1 species